UGGAAGGUACUCAAUAUUGUAUGAACAUUCUCUGGUGGUUCGUGAAAUCAUGGUGACUUGGGUCUGGGCCCAAUCUCAAUUCAUUUGCAAGGAGUCAAUCUGAAGACCUGUGACCACAAUGAGGAAUUUCAAAGGGGAUCUUCAGUACUGCCUGGAUAUUUUAAAUGGACAACCAGAUAGCACAGGAAGCAGCCCAGCUCCAGAUUCUAGGCUCGCAGAUGGUGAUGCUGGAAAGGGGAAAAGAAACGUUGGUUGAAUCUGCAGAGAAGGGACCCACAGAUAUGGAGCACCCACUGUUUACCAGACACUGAGCUAGGUAUUUGGGAUGCCACAGAAGAGUAUCAAGAAUCACCCCUGCCCUCAAGCAGCUUUUAACCAUUGAGCAGACACCAGGGAAGGGCCAGAGGAGCAGCGUGGGUGGAAAAGGAUAUUGUGAGACUUUGACAGAAGUAGGAGUAGGAGGGAUAUGGGAGGAAUCGGACUUGUUUGGCCUUUUAGGGUUUUCGGCAUAAAUCUUUGGAAUUACUGCAUCAAUAGUUUAUGUGUACUUACUUAAGGUAAGACUCUAUUCUGCUUUUUUUCCCCUAGACUUUUUGGAAAGCAUGUUCAGAAAGCCUCUUAUCUUCCCUAGCACAAAGAUUGUUUUAACUCUAGCUUAAAUAACAAUAGUAAAAGUGAUCAGGGUAGCUAUCAUUUGUUGAAAACUUACUGUGUGCCAGACCCACUGAUAAGAACUGUGAGUUAACAGAUGAUUCAUUCAUGGCCCAAAGGAGCCCUGUCUUUCCUGAGUUUUCAAGUUCUAUACAGAAAGGUCUCCUGUUUAGCCUUGCUAAACUUCGCACUGAGGAGGGGGCCUACCUCGGGAGUCCCAAAUGAGUGUUACAAAGCACAAUUCAUAAACAUGUCCGACAACUUCCUGAGGAAAGAGCUUUC